rnacentral:rRNA from 1 species
UCGGCGUACCGCUCAGUAACACGUGGGUAACCUGCCCUAUGCUGGGGAAUAACCUCGGGAAACUGAGAAUAAUGCCCCAUAGUCCACAACGCCUGGAACGGUUUGUGGAUCAAAGCUCCGGCGGCAUAGGAUGGGCCUGCGGCGUAUCAGGUUGUAGGGGGUGUAACGUACCCUCUAGCCAUCAACGCGUACGGGUGUUGGGAGACAUAGCCCGGAGAUGGAUUCUGAGACACGAAUCCAGACCCUACGGGGUGCAGCAGGCGCGAAAACUUGGCAAUGCGAGAAAUCGUGACCAGGGAACUCCAAGUGGCUGGGGUAAGACCCAGUCUUUUCUUGACUCUUCAAAGGUCUUGGAAUAAGGGGCGGGUAAGGACGGUGCCAGCCGCCGCGGUAAUACCGGCGCCUCAAGUGGUAGUCGAUUUUAUUGGGCCUAAAACGUCCGUAGCCUGUUUGGUACAUUCGUGGGUAAAUCAACCAGCUCAACUGGUUGAAUUCUGCGAGCACGGCCAGACUUGGGACCGGGAGAGGUGUGGGGUACGCUCAGGGUAGGGGUAAAAUCCUGUCAUCCUGAGCGGACCACCUGUUGCGAAGGCGCCACACUAGAACGGAUCCGACGGUCAGGGACGAAGCCUAGGGGCACGAACCGGAUUAGAUACCCGGGUAGUCCUAGGUGUAAACGCUGUGGACUUGGUGUUGGGGACUCUCCGAGAUUCCUCAGUGCCGAAGCGAAGGUGAUAAGUCCACUGCCUGGGGAGUACGGUCGCAAGGCUGAAACUUAAAGGAAUUGGCGGGGGAGCACCGCAACCUGAGGAUUGUGCGGUUUAAUU